UGUUGACUGAAUGGCUGCUGAUUUUCAAGGCUACUGCAGAGCUGGGAAGACAGGAAUGAGAGUAGGUCAACUUAAAGUGCCAUGAACCCUGCUGUUCUUACUGAGGCUGCCUAUGAGUGGACCAGAUGGAUAAAGCAGAGACCUUCACUUUAAGGGGUCCAGCAGAUCAGCUGACCACUUAAUGUCCCCUGAAAUGUCAAGAAAAAAAGAGUCCAGCCCAAAAGUUCAGUCUCUCCAUCAGAUGUCUAGGGGACACUAUGAAAAAAUGCCAGAGGCACCAAGGGAGCUGUGAACCAAGAAAGUUUGGGAACC